rnacentral:misc_RNA from 1 species
GAGAGAGAGAGAGAGAGAGACCUAGUGUCUCUGAUGGCAAAACCAAAAAGGUGAAGGGAAGGUUUUGAAGAAAUCUGCAAGGGGGAAAUAAGAUGCCUUUAUCCACUUUACAUGUCUAUUUUUAGUUUGCAUCAAUACAAGAAUCUGCUCAAAUUAAUCAAAUGAUUUUGUAUGAUUUCUCUUUCUUAUGUAGUAGCUGAAAUGUCCGAUCUAAGUGGGAGUACAACUCCAGUAUUGCCUCUCAAAAUAUGAUGAUGAUUUUGAAAAUUUAACCAAG